AAUAGAUACCCGGGUAGUCCACGCCGUAAACGAUGAGUGCUAAGUGUUGGGGGGUUUCCGCCCCUCAGUGCUGCAGCUAACGCAUUAAGCACUCCGCCUGGGGAGUACGGUCGCAAGACUGAAACUCAAAGGAAUUGACGGGGGCCCGCACAAGCGGUGGAGCAUGUGGUUUAAUUCGAAGCAACGCGAAGAACCUUACCAGGUCUUGACAUCCCGGUGACCACUAUGGAGACAUAGUUUCCCCUUCGGGGGCAACGGUGACAGGUGGUGCAUGGUUGUCGUCAGCUCGUGUCGUGAGAUGUUGGGUUAAGUCCCGCAACGAGCGCAACCCUUAUUCUUAGUUGCCAUCAUUCAGUUGGGCACUCUAAGGAGACUGCCGGUGAUAAACCGGAGGAAGGUGGGGAUGACGUCAAAUCAUCAUGCCCCUUAUGACCUGGGCUACACACGUGCUACAAUGGACGGUACAAACGGUUGCCAACCCGCGAGGGGGAGCUAAUCCGAUAAAACCGUUCUCAGUUCGGAUUGUAGGCUGCAACUCGCCUACAUAAAGGCCG
rnacentral:rRNA from 1 species